UUUUUUUUGUUAUCUUUUAUACCGUUAUUAUUGAGAUAAUCAAUGUUUCUGUUCUUUGAUAUUGUAUGGGCUUUACUGCACGUUUUGAAUAUCUACUGAUCGAGAUACAAUAGUUUUUCUAGUGACAAAUUAGAUUUAUAUAUUCCGCCAUAAUGGUUUCAUUGUUAGACGAAACUAAAGUUUAAAAGUUUACACCAGGACCAGGAUUAAACUGAAUGUCAAAAUAUUUUGUUAUGUCAAUGCUUUAUUCCAAAGGUAUGUCCAGAGACCAUUUAUUAAAGCCAAGUAAUGACAUCAUAAAGAAAAUCCCACACCCGGAGGUAGUUCUCAGUUGUCUCCUAAAUAAAAUUGUGUACUAAGUCAGCUAAAAUGA
rnacentral:lncRNA from 1 species